rnacentral:tRNA from 1 species
GCGGCGGUGGUGGAACUGGCAGACACGAUGCUCUCAAAAGGCAUUGUCCGUGAGGACGUGUGGGUUCGAGUCCCACCCGCCGCA